rnacentral:rRNA from 1 species
UACGUAGGGUGCAAGCGUUAAUCGGAAUUACUGGGCGUAAAGCGUGCGCAGGCGGCUUUGCAAGACAGAUGUGAAAUCCCCGGGCUCAACCUGGGAACUGCAUUUGUGACUGCAAAGCUAGAGUACGGCAGAGGGGGAUGGAAUUCCGCGUGUAGCAGUGAAAUGCGUAGAUAUGCGGAGGAACACCGAUGGCGAAGGCAGCCCCCUGGGCUAACACUGACGCUCAUGCACGAAAGCGUGGGGAGCAAACAGG